rnacentral:lncRNA from 1 species
GGCUAGCGCAAGUUCCGGGUGAGCGCGGGCUCGGCGGGCCCCGCCCUCGGAGCGGCUGGCCGGCGCCGCUGGCCCCGGGGAGUGAGGGGCUUAGCACCCGGGCCAGCAGUUGCGAAGGGUGCGCGGGGUUCCCCAGCAGUGCCGGCCCUCGCGCGCGGCGCUCGAAUUCUCGCUGGGCGUCAGCUGCCUCCCCGCAGGGCAGGGCUCGGGACCUGCAGCCCGCCAUGCCCGAGCCUCCUCCCCGCCGUGGGCUACGCGCCGCCCGAGCCUCUUGAAGUCAGUGAGACCAAGAACCCGCCAAUUCCGGACACACUAUUAGAAGAUAAGCUCACAGCAGAGCAAACUUUAUUACUAUUUUAAACAUAAGGAAGCCGACUCUAUGAUGAAGAAUUAGCACAGGUUAUGUGGCUGGCAAUUGCUGGAUUCUUCAGUAGAACUCCUGAUUCUAGAUGUUCUAUUAUAGUGGAAAUAUCUCUGCGAUAAGAAGACAUGGAUUCUAGCUCCAUCUCCAGAACUUAGGAGCCAGGAUUCACUUAAAGGAGACACGGGCUGUGCUGGCUUCUCAGAUUUGCAAAAGAUCAAUGUCUCCAAGUACCCAAAACUUACCUGGGGUUUUCAAGAUUAUGCAGCUAGGAGAGGCAUCAUCUUUGAUCAUCAUCAGAUUUUACAACUCAUUGUUCCCUUCCAGUCCACAGGGUGAGAGAAUCAUGUAAAUGGUCAAACAAACACUUGGAUUAUAGAAGACACUUGAUAUUAAUAAUGACAAUAAAAAUGUUUACCUAACUUGGAUAGAUUUUGUGUAUAGAUAGGAUGUGUGUGCGCAUGCACGAAUGUGUGUGUGUGUGUCUGUGUGUGUGUGUGUGUAUACUCCCCCCUUACUGGGAAAGGACAUAUCAGAAGAUCAGGAAAUGCAUUACACAAUUUUUGUAUGCAAUAUUAGUCCAUUUCUUGGCGGAGACCCAAAUCUAUUGUGGCGAGAAAGUAAUAGAUGAACUAACUAGGGACUCAGACUUACUGGCUAGUGUCCAAGAAACAUUAAAAAAUUGAGUACUGAACAUAACAAGUAGGAUGGUGCAUGCAAAUUUAGAUGUCUUAUUGAAAACAGCACAUUUAUUAAUAUAUUAGACUUGUAGACGUGAGGGUGUUUUAAUACCUACUCAGAAAUUACUCAUGGGUCGGCUUCACAGAAAUAUCACUUGCAUAAGUGUGAGCUUCAGAGAAAUGGUGCCAGGCAUGAGUGAUCAUGGCUGGACUAAUCUAAAGAAAACUGGAAUGCCUGUAGUUAAUGAUACUAUAUUUUACACGUAAAAAUUUUUAAGAGGGUAGAUAUCAUGUUAACUGUUCUUAUCACAAUGAAAUAAAAAUUUAAAAAUAAAACUGAUUAAUGGGCAAAAUAUGUUAUUGUCAUUGUCAAACUGUCAUCUUUCUUCCUAAUUCCUUAGAAACUGCUUAACAUAACUUUAUUUGAUGCCUACUAUGUGUCAGGCUAUUUUCUAAGACACUAGAAAUAUCCAGAUAAAGUAAAAAGAUUAAAAGCAUGAUUAUAUAGGAACUACAUUUUUGUCAGAUU